ACAAACUUACACACCUGACACCUCAACAUCAAACCCCUAACAACAUUGUCAGACCGGAUACACAUAACCCCAUGUCCGUCAAACGUUUCGUUCAACCAACACACAGACAUACAACCAAAACAUGUCAUACACCCAACCCCAAUACCAAGAGCAUACCCCAUACCACCACCAACAAAUUGACCAUCAACCUGAGACCCAGCAUCGCUUUGCACCCACCGCAUCACCCUACCAAAGCCUCCUUAGCCAGAGCACCCAACGAUCA
rnacentral:lncRNA from 1 species